rnacentral:lncRNA from 10 species
AGCGGCUUCAGGGAGUCUGGGAACCAAAGCAGCCACCCUGUCCAUGGCACUGUCCGCCCCUGGCACCACGGCCCCACCGGGAGUGGAAGCCGCCAGGUGAGGCAGGGGUGGUUCCCUUCCCCGGGGAACAAUGUGCAGAAGGCAUCGGUGCCUGCCAGAGAGGAAGUGGGGAGGUGGGGAGACAGAGCACAGAGAGUGACUCAGACCCGAGGGCGAACCAGAAGCUGCCCGGAGAUUCCCACUGUAUGGCUUCCUGCAGGAUUCAGCUGUGGAGACUGAAGCCGGAGGGCCUGGGGGGAGCCGCAGGAAGCGGGUGGGCGGGGGCCGUCUGCCCCUGGACACUCAGGACAGCCUGGCUCACCACGGGGGAGGAGAAGCCAAUGGAGACAGCGGGGACCAAGAGGGAGGGGGUGGAUGGGGAGCCUGGGGAGGAGCGGAGGGACCCAGGUCCCCUGCCUUACAGGACGACCAGCACAGGUUCCAGGUCUCCAGCCAGCUACAGGGCUUCUUAACACACAGCACUCCCUGCUUCGAGCCUUCCGGGAGGCCCCCAAUCCAGGAUCAAGACCCAGCCCCGUCACGGCCUGGCUCACGAGGCCCCACUUCAACUGCCCCUGACCUCUCUGCGCCCCCUGCUCCCGCCAGCCCUGCCGGCCGCUGCCCUGGAGAAGGAGCUGCAGAUGGAUCCCCAGUGAGUAGGAGGCAGCCGUGUGAGUCAGGCAGCGGAGGGAACGGGCUGCAUCGCGGAGAGGAGGUGCGAAGCAGCGCGCCGUUUCCGGGCUCUGGAAGCCGAGCUGCCGAGGCGUAAGCUGGGAGGUGGACAUGACGGGGGAGUGGGGAAGGGCAGGCGGCGGGACGGCCACACAGCGGAAUAUUAUGCAACUUAUAAAAAAUUUAAUUACCUGCCUACCAAUAGACUUAAAGGGAUUUCUAUAAGGUAUUAUUGGGUGAGAAAAGCAAUUUGGAGAUAAGAAUGUAACAUACGAUCCCAUUUUUAUAAAACAAUGGGCAAAAAAAUCUGUGAGUUUGUGUGUAUAUAUGUAUAUGUAUAUAGGCCUCUAUAGGAUUUUAUUAACACAAAAGAAAAUACAGGAUACAUGCUAGGUUGUUAACAGGGGUUUUCUUCACGGAAACCUAUUGUGGGGGAAGGGGAACCAAUAAAAAAAGGAUCUGAGAAAUAAAGACCGCCCUUAAAAGAUGGAUGACUGCAGCUAACCGUGUCCCCAACACCCACCCCUACCAAAGCUAGACAUGGGGGAGUGGUCUCGACUAUCCCCUUCUCCCCAUCCCAGCAUCUGCUCCUCUCAGGUGGCAGCCAGCCACUAGACACCCCCCAACACACACAUGCACGUGCACACACACACACACACACAGACCCAGCCCAGUCUCCACAUAGCCAACCAUCUGAGGGUUCCAGUUGCCCUGAGAGUGAGAUCCACUUCAACACAGACUCCAAGUUCCUUCCCCCAGCCCCACUCACCUCUGCAGGCUCAGUCCUCACUGCUCCCCCAAACCCCACCCUGCCAACUCCCUGCACUGCCAAAUAGCCCAG